rnacentral:rRNA from 1 species
GGACCCGCACAAGCAGUGGAGCAUGUGGUUUAAUUCGAAGAUACGCGCAGAACCUUACCAACACUUGACAUGUUCGUCGCGACUUUAAGAGAUUAGAGUUUUCGGUUCGGCCGGACGAAACACAGGUGCUGCAUGGCUGUCGUCAGCUCGUGUCGUGAGAUGUUGGGUUAAGUCCCGCAACGAGCGCAACCCUCACUUUUAGUUGCCAUCAUUAAGUUGGGCACUCUGAAAGAACUGCCAGUGAUAAGCUGGAGGAAGGUGGGGAUGACGUCAAGUCCUCAUGGCCCUUACGUGUUGGGCUACACACGUGCUACAAUGGUAUCUACAACAGGAAGCAAGACUGCGAAGUUAAGCAAAUCCUUAAAAGAUACCUCAGUUCGGAUUGCACUCUGCAACUCGAGUGCAUGAAGCUGGAAUUACUAGUAAUCGU